AGCACUUGUUCAAAGCUGACCCUCCAGCUAGGAUGUUCGCCAUCUCUGGGUCUGCGGUUCUCGAAGCUUAUCCUCCGAUCAGCUGUGAAUCUCACUGAGAUUGCACGGGCGGUGAAUCAGAUGAGGGCAGGGAAGGCCGCAGGGACCUGUGAUAUCCAGGGUGAACUUCUCCAGGCUGGUGGUAAGGCUGUCCUCCUGGCAUUGCAGGCAAUCUCUGCCUCCAUUUGGGAGUCAGUCUUUAUCCCAACUUACUGGAAAAUGGGACUUGUAGCCCCUGUCUGGAAAGGGAAGGGUGAUUGCCUGGAUUGUGGCAACUGCUGGGGGAAAACACAGCUUUCAGUGCCUGGUAUGGUCCUUGCUAGGGUCAUACAUAACAGCAUCCAUGAUCACUUGCUUGCCUAUCAGCGACAGUUUUACGCCUAAGAAGUCUACCAUCGACUGCCUCUUUCGAGGAUCCUUGGGUACCGCUGGUUUGACUUUGUGUGGAAUGAGCGGUGGCUAGCUGAGUCCGGAAUGAGGCACGUUACCUGCAUCGUGAGGGAGCGUCAGUUACGGCACUACGGCCAUGUGGCGUGUUUCCCUGAGAGUGAUUCGCACAAUACCUGGCAACAGUUGAUAUCCGUUGAGCUUGAAAGUAGGCUGGCGCAUGAUAAAAUUGGGGGCGUGGUUAAGACUAUUACGUAACAGCCUGGCAAUUUUUGAACCGCCUGUUUCCACUUCCUUAUUCUACAUAUUCAGAAAUUAUCAGAGGUGGAAAGUUCAGGUUCAAAAAGUACGAAUCCAAACCCCAAUUUUGUUUCAACCAACCAGUUGUGACUCUUCAUGCUCAGCUAGUUGUACCAGGUUGUUUAUCGCUCGUGUGUUCCUACUCGUCUCCAUUCCUGCGUGGUGCUUCACAGGAUUUAUCGCGCUUCAAAGCAGGGACAGAACACACACAUGAGCAAUGAAAGCGGCAGCCGAGGAGCACAAAAACAUUAUUAUCCAGUUAUCUGAAUGAAAGCCUUGGUCUGAGGUACGUACACCGCGUAUAAUUCAAUAUUUUACAACAUUGUAGAGGUUUGAAGUAAUUGAUGCCGCGUACCUUUCUGACAUGUCAGAGCAUGCCUGCUGUCUGUGCUGUGCAGCAUCUUUCCUGCUCAUUUGACAGGUCUUAAUUGAAUUUGGUUAAUGAAUGCGCACCGGGAUGAUGAACGAUAAACUGAAAGUAUACUGCAUUACUUGAUGUUCUGACUGUGUGUGGGGUGGGGCAGGGCCGGGAUUUUUGGGUCACAUAUAUCACACCACCAGGAAAAUACCUGGUAUUCCGGACGUCCAGUCCAUCCUGGGGAUGGGGGGAAAGCCUUUUCCGGAAUCCUCACUCGAUUCAUUUGCACGAGCGUACCUUACACUGGUUGAACACCACAGUUUUGGAAGGUAUUAGCUCAGUGAGAAGAGCAUCACAUGAGUGUCAGCAUUCAUAUGAUGCCCAUCUCCCCCGAAACAAAGUUUGAGGUCUUGAACUUUGACCCAGAGGCGGGGGCACUCAUGUGGAGGCUCAUGAGGCUUCAUCUUAGUCGUUUCAUGUUAGACUAACAAUACUGAAUGAGGAAAAAAAUAAACUUUGGUGGGGGGCAGGGUGUCUGGCUCCUCUGUCUGUGAACAGAAGGUCGCUGGUUCAAAUCCCUGGGUGAUGUCACUGUUGGGCCCUUGAAUAAGGCCCAUAACCCCCAAUUGCUCCAGGGAGAGUCUGACCCUGCUCUCUCAGUUCAAUUGUAUGUUGCUUUGGUUAACAUCUGCUAAAUAAAUGUAAAUCAGCUGAAA